rnacentral:rRNA from 1 species
GACGUAGGGCGCGAGCGUUGUCCGGAUUUAUUGGGCGUAAAGAGCUCGUAGGCGGCUUGUCGCGUCGGCUGUGAAAACCCGCGGCUCAACUGUGGGCGGGCAGCUGAUACGGGCAGGCUGGAGUUCGGUAGGGGAGACUGGAGUUCCUGGUGUAGCGGUGAAAUGCGCAGAUAUCAGGAGGAACACCGGUGGCGAAGGCGGGUCUCUGGGCCGAUACUGACGCUGAGGAGCGAAAGCGUGGGGAGCGAACAGG